rnacentral:rRNA from 1 species
GAUGAACGCUGGCGGCGUGCCUAAUACAUGCAAGUCGAGCGAACGGACGAGAAGCUUGCUUUUCUGAUGUUAGCGGCGGACGGGUGAGUAACACGUGGAUAACCUACCUAUAAGACUGGGAUAACUUCGGGAAACCGGAGCUAAUACCGGAUAAUAUUUUGAACCGCAUGGUUCAAAAGUGAAAGACGGUCUUGCUGUCACUUAUAGAUGGAUCCGCGCUGCAUUAGCUAGUUGGUAAGGUAACGGCUUACCAAGGCAACGAUGCAUAGCCGACCUGAGAGAGUGGUCGGCCGCACUAGAACUGAAACACGGUCCAGACUCCUACGGGAGGCAGCAGUAGGGAAUCUUCCGCAAUGGGCGAAAGCCUGACGGAGCAGCGCCGCGUGAGUGGUAAAGGUCUUCGGAUCGUAAAACUCUGUUAUUAGGGAAGAACAUAUGUGUAAGUAACUGUGCACAUCUUGACGGUACCUAAUCAGAAAGCCACGGCUAACUACGUG